AGUAAUUCUGCAGCAACAAGUAAUUGAUUUUUAUGAGGAAGUUUUAUCACUGAUCUUUAGUAUGACAUGCACACAUAUAUCACCCGCUCUAUGGCAAGUGUUUCCAAUGGUCCAUGAAAUGUUCAACGAUGAUGGUUUUGACUACUUCUUAGAAAUAAUGCCUGCUCUGCACAAUUAUAUCACAGUUGAUCCACAGACCUUCCUCUCCAACACUGUGUACAUAGAAAGUAUCUUCAACAUUUGUAAAAAGGUAAU